rnacentral:rRNA from 1 species
AGCGCAGGCGGGAGAACAAGUUGGAAGUGAAAUCCAUGGGCUCAACCCAUGAACUGCUUUCAAAACUGUUUUUCUUGAGUAGUGCAGAGGUAGGCGGAAUUCCCGGUGUAGCGGUGGAAUGCGUAGAUAUCGGGAGGAACACCAGUGGCGAAGGCGGCCCACUGGGCACCAACUGACGCUGAGGCUCGAAAGUGUGGGUAGCAAACA